rnacentral:hammerhead_ribozyme from 1 species
AUCCAGAUGACGAGUCUGAAAUAGGACGAAACGUACGUCCUGGAU